GAUGAACGCUAGCGGCAGGCUUAAUACAUGCAAGUCGUGGGGCAGCAGGUUUGUAGCAAUACAGAUGCUGGCGACCGGCAAACGGGUGCGGAACACGUACAGAACCUUCCUUUGAGCGGGGAAUAGCCCAGAGAAAUUUGGAUUAAUACCCCAUAGUAUAAUGAAGUGGCAUCACUUUAUUAUUAAAGAUUUAUCACUCGAAGAUGGCUGUGCGGCUGAUUAGGUAGUUGGCGGGUAAAGGCCCACCAAGCCUGCGAUCAGUAACUGGUGUGAGAGCACGACCAGUCACACGGGCACUGAGACACGGGCCCGACUCCUACGGGAGGCAGCAGUAAGGAAUAUUGGUCAAUGGAGGCAACUCUGAACCAGCCAUGCCGCGUGGAGGAUGAAGGUCCUCUGGAUUGUAAACUUCUUUAUAUGGACGAAAAAAGGCUUUUUCUAAGUCGUCUGACGGUACCAUAUGAAUAAGCACCGGCUAACUCCGUGCC
rnacentral:rRNA from 1 species